rnacentral:rRNA from 1 species
CAAGUCGAACGGAGUUUGUUCCUUCGGGAGCAAACUUAGUGGCGGACGGGUGAGUAACGCGUGAGCAACCUGCCUAGAAGAGGGGGAUAACGACCGGAAACGGUCGCUAAUACCGCAUAACAUUGAGAAAUGGCAUCAUUUUUCAAUCAAAGGAGCAAUCCGCUUUUAGAUGGGCUCGCGUCCGAUUAGCUAGUUGGUGGGGUAACGGCCUACCAAGGCGACGAUCGGUAGCCGAACUGAGAGGUUGAUCGGCCACAUUGGGACUGAGACACGGCCCAGACUCC